GUGCUCGCUUCGGCAGCACAUAUACUAAAAUUGGAAUGAUGCAGAUAAGAUUAGCAAGGUCCCGGUCAAAGAUGACAAGCAAAUUCGUGAAGCAUUCCAUAUUUUU